rnacentral:tRNA from 1 species
GCCCUCAUCGUCUAGCGGCCCAGGACGCCGCCCUUUCACGGCGGAGAUCAGGGGUUCGAAUCCCCUUGGGGGCG